GAUGGCAUACCAUUUACAAAAGUAGACAACCAAAGGUAUUGCAAGUGGGGUAUGUCCAGUCAUUUUUAGUAACCACUUAGUCACAAACACUGGCCAAACUUAGCGUUUGUUUUUUGAAUUUUUACACAAAAACAAAUGUGAGCGCUAUCUUUGACCAGUGUUUGUAAUUAAGUGGCUACUAAAAAAAUGGGCAUACCCCAUAUUGAAUACCAUUGGUUCUCUAGUUUUGCAAAUCAUAUGUAAUC